AGUUCGCUCUGGGCUCCUAUGGAACCCGAGCCACAGGGCGGGGCUCUCUCGGCGGCCUUUCCCCAUUGGCAGCCUGGGUUCUUUGAACCCUUUCGCCCAAUGGUGGCUCUGCCCCUGGCUUUCAACAGCUUUGGAGGUUGUCUGUUUUGUAACCUAUGUCAAGAAAGAGCAGAUUUGUAUGUCGAAAGUCUUUUGUUCUUUUCAGGUGAUGGAGAAGGCAGCGCCUGACAUCCAACGAAUGCAAAGUUCAUUCUAGGCAUGUUUCAGAUUCUUGAAAAAAAGACAGCAAUAUGAUAUUUUUAUUCAAGUAAAAAUCAGUUACCACUUUAGGUACACUCAUUUCAUCAGUGUGUUCAGCAAUGCUCCAAUGUAGUCUAUGGAUUUUGUUGGUUGCAGCUUUGAUCUGUCCCAAUUGACCUGGACUCCCAAGUCAUUUAACAGUCACAGGACAUACUGAAUUUGGGACUCCAACCUGUCCUGGUGUACCAGGAGCCAGUUGUCGAGAUAAAGGAAUACGAUGAUACCUUGCGUGCGCAGGGUCAAAGAACGUAACCAGGCAUGACAUCUCAGAGAGACUGCAGUGGUCAUUGUCCUAGAUUCCAUUUCUACCAGGUGUUUAAACGUACUAAGCUGCUGUCUGACGUAUACCUGGACCAAUAGGUUCUGUAGACUGAUGACCAAGGAUAGCACAUGCUGCAUGGUCAGUGGAUACAAGGAGGCAUCCUCUUUAGACAGUGGCAGCUCCUUCUCAUGUUCAUCUAUCGGCUGGACAAACUUCACAUAGGAGGAAGAGAGGUUCUGCCUAAAGAAGGCUUUCAGAAACUGAAGGAUGCUGACUGGACAGAAAACCAUUAUUAACAUAGAAGUCAAACAUCCCACACUUCACAGAUAUUGUUCACAACCACCAUUCUAGAACCCUAUACUGCACAUGUGAAUGCCAAGAGGGAAGCAAAGAACAGCCAAGCAGAACAAAGAAGAGCUUCAUUGGAUGAGAGGACAGCAGGUUCAGUAGGAGAGGUUGACAUCCAUGUGAGCUGGAGAACUCUCUCGAGUAGCUGUAGUAAGCGUGAAUUGGAAAGCAACAUAGCCACCACUGUAGAGAAGAAAGGAUCCAACAGGCCUUGUAAAACUACUUAUGCAGCAGGAAGUCAGCAGGAGGUUUUUCACACAUGGCUUUAUUCCUCAGGGUAUCUGAAGAGAUGUUUACUUCGGCAGAUUAAAUUGGCAGUCCACAUAGC